rnacentral:rRNA from 1 species
CCUACGGGGAGCAGCAGUGAGGAAUAUUGGUCAAUGGUCGGGAGACUGAACCAGCCAAGCCGCGUGAGGGAGGAAGGUACAGAGUAUCGUAAACCUCUUUUGUCAGGGAACAAAGGCGGGGACGUGUCCCCGGCUGAGUGUACCUGAAGAAAAAGCAUCGGCUAACUCCGUGCCAGCAGCCGCGGUAAUACGGAGGAUGCGAGCGUUAUCCGGAUUUAUUGGGUUUAAAGGGUGCGCAGGCGGUCUGUUAAGUCAGCGGUCAAAGCCCGGGGCUCAACCCCGGCCCGCCGUUGAAACUGGCAGUCUCGAGUUGGAGAGAAGUAUGCGGAAUGCGCGGUGUAGCGGUGAAAUGCAUAGAUAUCGCGCAGAACUCCGAUUGCGAAGGCAGCAUGCCGGCUCCAAACUGACGCUGAGGCACGAAAGCGUGGGUAUCGAACAGGAUUAGAUACCCUAGUAGUC